rfam:Cucumis melo, WGS project CAJI01000000 data, contig: 04218
AUUUCCUCAGGGAUAUCCAAUAUAAUUGGAACAAUAAAGAGAAGAUUAGCAUGUCCCUACACAAGUAUGACACACAUCUACCAAGUGCUCGUUAUAUUUUC